CUACGGGGUGCAGCAGUGGGGAAUAUUGCACAAUGGAGGAAACUCUGAUGCAGCAACGCCGCGUGGAGGAUGACACUUUUCGGAGCGUAAACUCCUUUUAUAUAGGAAGAAGAUGACGGUACUAUAUGAAUAAGCGCCGGCUAACUCCGUGCCAGCAGUCGCGGUAAUACGGAGGGCGCAAGCGUUAGUCGGAAUCACUGGGCGUAAAGAGCGUGUAGGCGGAUUAAAAAGUCAGAAGUGAAAUCCUAUAGCUUAACUAUAGAACUGCUUCUGAAACUCUUAAUCUAGAAUAUGGGAGAGGUAGAUGGAAUUUCUGGUGUAGGGGUAAAAUCCGUAGAGAUCAGAAGGAAUACCGAUUGCGAAGGCGAUCUACUAGAACAUUAUUGACGCUGAGACGCGAAAGCGUGGGGAGCAAACAGGAUUAGAUACCCCCGUAGUC
rnacentral:rRNA from 1 species